rnacentral:rRNA from 1 species
UACAGAGGGUGCAAGCGUUAAUCGGAAUUAUUGGGCGUCAAGGGAGCGUAGGCGGACAUUUAAGUCAGGGGUGCAAUCCCAGAGCUCAACUCUGGAACUGCCUUUGAUACUGGGUGUCUUGAGUGUGAUAGAGGUAUGUGGAACUCCGAGUGUAGAGGUGAAAGUCGUAGAUAUUCGGAAGAACACCAGUGGCGAAGGCGACAUACUGGAUCAUUACUGACGCUGAGGCUCGAAAGCGUGGGGAGCAAACAGG